GACGAACGCUGGCGGCGUGCUUAACACAUGCAAGUCGAACGGAAAGGCCCUGCUUUUGUGGGGUGCUCGAGUGGCGAACGGGUGAGUAACACGUGAGUAACCUGCCCUUGACUUUGGGAUAACUUCAGGAAACUGGGGCUAAUACCGGAUAGGAGCUCCUGCUUCAUGGUGGGGGUUGGAAAGUUUCGGCGGUUGGUGAUGGACUCGCGGCUUAUCAGCUUGUUGGUGGGGUAGUGGCUUACCAAGGCUUUGACGGGUAGCCGGCCUGAGAGGGUGACCGGACACAUUGGGAAUGAGAUACGGCCCAGACUCCCACGGGAGGCAGGAGUGGGGAAUAUUGCAAAAUGGGCGGAAGCCUGAUGAAGCAACGCCGCGUGCGGGAUGACGGCCUUCGGGUUGUAAACCGCUUUCGCCUGUGACGAAGCGUGAGUGACGGUAAUGGGUAAAGAAGCACCGGCUAACUACGUG
rnacentral:rRNA from 1 species